rnacentral:lncRNA from 1 species
CCAGGGAUGUACCUGUCUAAUGCUAACCUGAGAAUACAAGUUAUUUGAAAACCGAGUAUCAACAUUUUUACAAAUGCUGGUGAGUUCAUAAGUAUUUAGUGACUUUUAUUCAAAUAACUUCAUAAGUAUUCGAUUAUUGAAGAAAGCAAACGACAUCAGGGAAAAACAUAUGCCUCAGCAGUGAGGACUGCUGAUGAAGGCAAGGAAUCAUAGACCCCAGGAGAGUAUCGAACGAACGACACGCCUGGUUCAGUCUAACAAAUAGAGACACAGACCCCAGAAGGUACCAAAUGAAAGGUACAACUGGUAAGGUCUAAAACAGUGAAUAACAGACCCCAGACAGUAUCAAAUGAAAGAUACGUCUUGUAAGGUCAAACAGAGAAAACAGACCCAGACAGUAUCAAAUGAAAGAUACGUCUUGUAAGGUCAAAACAGAGAAAACAGACCCCAAACAGUAUCAAAUGAAAGAUACGUCUUGUAAGGUCAAAACAAUGUGACUCUAAAAGUGAAUUACCAGCAUACAGUGUAAAUUGUCGGCGAAAUACCGUUACCUUAAAGCCAUGAAUUAUAAGGUAACUCGGGAUACUGAUAACCAUACUGACUAGAGUUCCAGACGCCCUACAAAGGCCUAUAUAAUGUGACAUUUGUCACCCGUUGGCUUGGUAGGCCGGGACUGUAGCUAGCAGUAAGGGUGCGGGGUUGUCAAUCCCAUAUAGAUCUAUACACACAAUGUCCGCUCUCCCUACAGGAGACUCUGGUUACCAACUAGACGACGGAGAAGGCCGUGUCCUGAAGAUGCAUCCCAAAUAGUGGGUAGAGACUUCCAAAUAGUGGGUAGUGUGUAAGUGCUGAACUAGAUGUAGAGACUUCCAAAUAGUGGCUAGUGUGUUUCUAAUGUAAGUGUGGGCUAGAGCUAGAGACUCUUCACUGAACUGACUAGAGACUUACACUAUGUCCAUACCCAUACACAUAGUAUAUAACUAAUGAACCAAACGACCUUCAAACGGCCAUCCGAUCCCACCAGACCACAUCUCAACGAAGAAAAGGAAAUAGGGCGGACAAGCCUUCCUACAUCUUUCAAUCAUUACUUAUAUGUACCUAUAUAAGCACAGACAUACAUCUAACUACGACUGAGUGUGUAUCAAGUAGAAGUGAUUCUUGUGAAGUAGGAGUGUCUAACAAGUGAAGUANGAAGUAGGAGUGUCUAACAAGUAUAAGCGUAUCACGAAGUAGAGACAAAAAUAAGUGAUGUAAGAACGUAUCGAGUAUAAGUGAAGUAGAGGCGAUAUCAAGUAUAAGUGAAGUAGAAUCGUAUCACUAAGUAAGAGUGUGAAUAAGUACCAGCGUCCAUCGGGUAUAAGGGUAUCACGAAAGAAUGUGUUAUCAAGUAGGAGUUUUAAAUAAGUAAAAGCGAAGCAGCAGUAACAACAAGUAGAAGUAUACAUCGUGAAAGUAACUUUGAUGAAAACCUUGGUAACCUUUAUAUUUUAAGAAAAUCACGACUUGGUAUUACUUUGUGAAUUAAGUUUGAUGUAAAACUUUUAGAAAUUCUUUGGGAACCUUUCAUAAAUCAGUUUGAAAUAAAACUUUGAUAAAACAGUAAAAGUAAGAACUUGAACCAGUGAAAACCUUUUAGAAAACUAUUUAUAGUGUCCUACUCGGUAAAACAGUAUACAGUGUGGUAAAAUCUUGUGCAUGCGGGUUAUCAAUCACAUGUGAUUGAUAUGAUAACUGGCAUGUUUAACUUGUAUUCCUCCCCCCAUAAACCAUGUAAAAACAUUUAAAAGGCUCAUUCAGGGGUAUGAACUCACCUGGUGUAAGUAGGUCCGACGAAGGUGCCGUUUGGGCGUUCGGUGUCACGUAAGGACUCGAACACACUCAAUGACCUAUAUAACAUAUGAUAACAUAUGUUCACUUACAAUUAGUAUAUUUAAUACUAAUUAAACACGUAUACGCACUCAAAGGAGCGGAAAACACUUUAGAUAAGUGUUUGGGUGUCCCGGGUAGUGUCUAAGGGUGUGUAUGACUUAGGAAUGGAGUUUACUCUCCGAGAGUAAACCCUUAACACUUAGUUUACGGCCCAGGGACUACUCACCAUGAGCUUACGGCCGUAAACUCAUGGUGAGGGUAUCUAGUGUGUUUUAAGGCUUCUACUUGUUCAUGGGAUUAUUCUAGGUCCAAUUCCAAAAGGCAUGAGUGGGUUUAGGGUCUUUAAGUGCACUAUAAUGGACUUUACGGCCUAUGGACAACUCCUAAGGGAGUUUACGGCCGUAAACUCUCAUCCCUUGAGUUUUGUGAAGUUUCAAGCCUUUAUAUCACUUCUAGUAAUUUAUUCAAGGCUAUAGGGGUGUUUGGGGGUUCCAAAAGGGGUCUCCUUUAGAGUUUAUGGUCCAAAUGACCAACCUUUGAGAGUUUAUAGCUGUAAGCUCUAUGGCUUGGCCGUGAACUCUCAUACACCCUCCAUUCUUUAAGUUUCAGCCCUUGUUUCAAUCCUAGUAUUUUAUGGUAAAUGUAUAAGGCCAUUUGGGGGACAAAAACCAACAUUUUGGCUUGUGUUGGGGAGUUUACGACCUUGACACAUGUCUAGGCCGUAAACUCCUUUUAAUCCUCCAAUUCUUUAUGUUUAAGUGAUCUAAACCCAAGAGGAUAAGCCCCUAAUUUAUGUGUUAAGCCCUAGGGUGGUUUGGGAGCGUUUUGGAGGUAUUUUGACAUAGUUUAGAGGUGUUUACGGCCUUGGCAUAUGCCUGGGCCGUAAACUCUCUUUUAGGCCUCAAAAUGAUUGUUUUAAAUGUACAAACACUCCUAGGCUAAUUUCUCUAUUUAUUUCCAAGCCAUUAGGGACAAGUUUGGGUCAUUUUGGCCUUGUUUAAGGGGUUUACGGCCUAAGGAGGAGCUUAGGCCGUAAACUCCAUUCUAACAGCUUCUAAGUCCGGAUUUUUAGGUAUAAACACGAAUCAAUAUGUUUAGAAUAAGCUAGGGUAAGCGGACUUACGAUUUGGAAGCGUUUGGUGGCGGAUUUGGGGCGAAAACGGGUCUAGAGAGAGAGUAUAUAGAGAGAGUGUAAAAAGUCUCCAAUGGACUCCACUCACCCUUAUAUAGGGUUUUGAGUCGGGGCUCAUUGGAAUUCUACCCAAUACUGCCGUUAAAUGGGGCUUUUGGUCGCACCCGAUUUAGUGGUCGUAAUAAUAAAAACUAACUUUUUCCAAUUUAAUGGAAAUGUAUGUUAUGUGUUUUUAUUUCCUUUCAUCACGACUUAACGGCCUAUUAAACAUGAACAAUUGUAAUGUUUAUUUAAUUGACGACCUCCAAUUAACGGAACUUUUAUAAACCGGAAUAUUCCGUUAAUGGUAACGGGGAAAUGUAACGGGACAACUUGGGUUGUCACAUCAUCCUCCUGUUAGAGGGAAUUUCGUCCUGAAAUUCAGGUCUAGGAAAGGAAGUAGGUAUGAAUGGCCAAGUAGGGGUAAGAGAGUACUUCAUAUAUGGUUGUCCUCGCAUUCCCAAGUGAACUUUAGUCUGUGUUUGUCAUUCUGACAGACCUUCACGUACAGGAUGCGGAUUUCGUCUAGUGUAGCUAGUGGGUUCCAACUGGUGUAUCUACGAGGUUAGGGUUCUCAAUGGAUUCUAUCAAGAUGAGUGAGGCACGCAGAGUGUUGUCAGGAGAUCACAUAUCGAGUCUAAGAAUUGGAUCGAUUGGGUGUGAAUCCUGUGGUAUAUCCGAUGGUAGUAGCGGCCUGAAAAGGGUUGGACCAUGUCUCUAUGAGGAUUCUCGGAUGGUCCUAAGCUCUCAGAAGGGUAGAUCCUUUCAGUACUUAGAACAUAGUGCACUUCUAUGGCAAGAUCAUCACUGGCGCGAUCGCCACUCCGAAGUUCCUAUCGUUCUUUCCCGUACUGGUAGUGUAGUCCUUCAGGUUGGUUCUUAGGAAUCUCGAGUGGUCUUUGGUUUUGUGUUUUCUGUCAACUGGCUGAUAGAGACUUUCUAGAUCGUCGAGUGGGUUUCGUGACUAUGGUUAUCGGUUUGCUGUAGAGUGUCUGUCUCAAGCUUGUGAAAAGCGAAUCUGCACUAAAGGCUCUUGAGAUGCGGAAACCCUGAGGGUCGGGGAGAUAGUGUUUCACUAGACGAGUGUUGGACUAUCUCGGGAGGUGGUUCUACUAUCUCUGCGUGAGAUGGUAUUCGUGGAACACCUAAUAGUCCAAUGAAUCUUUAAGACUUUGGUUUAGUCUAACGAGGAAAGUGCAUGUUCCUGCAUAACCCUUCGACUAACACCAAGGCUGGUGUCAAGUCUAUAACCUCUUCGGGAUCUGGGUCAUGAGGCUCAAUGCAACUACUAUCGCCCUUUGAUCAAGGAUUCUUGGAUGCGAAGGUUAUCCUAUGGUUCUUGGUAUCCUAGUGUUCACUUCGGAGAAUGUAUUUUAUCAUCUAUAGGGCGACGACAAUUUCCUCCUUGCAAGAGGGUGGAGGAUGAUAGGCACCACUUGUCUAUAACUGGGUGGACGAGGUGCCUGAGUAGUGCGAGCAUCUAAUGCAACUAUUCUUCCGAAGGUUCUGAGUUUUCUCGGUCUAGGUCAAAUCUAGUGGGUAUAGAGUUUUCAUCACUCGGCACUUUACUAGUUCAACCCGCAGUGGUUCUCUUGAGUCCGGCUCCUAUGUUAUGGAAUAGGGUGAAGGGCUUUUUUAAGAGGUUUGUGAUAGAGCUCAUGCUUAGCCUAACCACCAAUACUUGGUGUAUAAAGGCAGUAUACAAUUGAGGUCGGCAGGAUGUUCAGUUGUGCAACUCCACCCCAAACCCACAACCCAACGAGGAACAGGGAAUAGGGAGGAAACACACACCUUAAAUCUUUUUGAUCUCAAUUAUGUGCCACCUUUAUGCAUAUACCUAGUUAUAGUGGUCAGUCUCAUGAGUUCUGUUCUCUGGGUUCACGAACCGGAUGUGCGAGGUGCAAAGGGUCUUUCUGAGGAUUCUUCUGAGUAUGCUCCGGAUGGUUGCUGUCUUCUGAAGUAUCUACAAUGUCUUUCGCUUCGGUGCCCAUCUGACUACGAAGGGUCGGUCAACAGCGUACGGUACCCUCUCCUGGGUACUUUGGAAGGUUUGAGAUAAAAGGGACGAUUGACGGAUCGCAUUAGGUUUGAUUAUUUGUGUUAGAUUUAGGUUCGGGAGAACCUUUAUUUGCCGACUUGGCUACAGAGAAAGUUAUUUUACAUAGCACUAAGAGUGUACACCUGGUUGCACAAAGUCAAACCAUGAUCAAUAGAGUCGUCGAAGUUGGCACACUCCGACAUGAUAUAAAGUGAAGAUCGAUAGUGUCAUGUGCCGAACAGGCACACAAGUUCUAAGCGUCUCGGGUUUCGUCCUAUAUAUCACUACCGUGGAUACUUGGACCGAUAGAGUCGACGCGGAACUAUAGAGAGUUCUAAGUGUUUCUGAGUGGAGUACCUUUUUCAUGAACGGAUUCUCACGAGGCAUUUCUAUAAUCGCCUCACAUAUACUAUUCAUGUAUAUUUAAGGUGGGGAGGACUGUUGACUGAGCGACCCCGCCCUAAAUCCACAACCAAAUGAGGAACAGGAAAUGAGGCGGCAUUCGCUCACUCUAGGUCUGUCCAUCUUAAAUAUACAUGGUCGUAGCGUAUAUGUUUAGCCAUUAUAGUUUUACCUGAUGAAUUUUUAAAUUUUAUAACAGUGCUGCGACUUUCGCCUUACUGGGAAGAAUUUACAUUUAAAUUAGUCUUUUAAUGUAUUUAGUUUAGUUAUCUGAGAUCGAGAGAGGUACCAAAAAUCUACCUAGUGUCUUGGUGCUUCUUCCUAAGCAAUAGGGUUAGGCUCCUUCUGUGUCUUUGUUGUUUCCUUCAGUUGGGCAAUUUCUUUUGAAGUGUCCAAUCGCACCACAUAGAUGUCAAACUGGAUUUGUCGUCUCAUUGGUGAUUGAUGCAAUACGCUCCACUGGAGUUCUGCAUACACAAGCAGUAUGCCCCUUCAUGUUGCACCUAGCACAUAAGAGUUCCCGGUAGGCACCAUGAUGAUGGUAGCUGCACUUGCAGCUGUGGGGAAGGUCUCCUAGGUAUGGUCUUCUUGAGGUCGGGAGGCAAGGAUUGACAGAAGCAUUGGCCGUCUCAGCUCGUUGCCCUUCGGAAGGUCGUUGAGUCGAGGUACUUCCCUCCUCAAUCUUGAUCUUUCUCUUUAGUGGGUUCGAUUGAGGUUCUUGGGUGACUGGGUAUGAAGGUGUUGGUUGCUGCUGUCCAUUGCCAGGAUUGGAAAUCCCGACAGGCACCUUGCUAACAUUGUCGUUGUUAGCAUUCAGGUGAGCCAUGACAGCUGCUACAGCUGCUGAGACUGCAGCUUGGAACGUAGCUUCAUCGAAUAAGAGUGUAGGUUUCUUGCUUGAGGACUAGUUACGCUUCUUCGGUGGCAUGGUUUUUCCUACACGGAAAGGAAUACAAGAUGAUGAGAGACGAUGGCUAACCCUGGACAUAUCUGUCCUGACUGUAUUAGGCAUAAACUUUCCCGUGCCUCGGGUACUGGUUGUCUGAGUGUCGACCUACAUCCCUAUGAUGUAGUCCUGGUAUUCAAGGUAAAAGUGUGAGUAUCGGAAAAAGGCCAUAAGAUGCGAGUUGUUCCUACUAAGUUACCUUUAUACUGGGAAAGGUUUCACUCUCCGGCCUGGAGAGAUUUGAGAACGGUUCGAAACGAACUGCGGAAAGAGAGGCUCACAAGGGCAAAUGACUAAAUUGUCUCAAUAGAGAUGCGGGGAUCCGCCCUAAUCGUGUAUCUGGCAACGGGAAACGACGAUUUACCUAACACAUAGCGUGACUAGUGUAAUCACUAACUCACUAAAUUGUAUUAUUUUAUGGGUGUAUUAGCAUGACGAAUACGAGGAAAAGACAACUCUCGGGUUCCAUGUACUGGCUCCCUCUGUGUCUGCCUCGUGUCAUUGACUGGAAUCGGCAUUGGUUUCCUUCGGGUAGUUUCCUAGGGUUCUCUUCUCGUAUGGACAUAUUGAAUUUCCCACUCCACCUUCCUUCUGAUUCCAACUCUGGGUGUCACCACUUCAUGAUGGAUGACUGGGAAUCUCCGAAGUUUAGGCGAAUUUCUCACCGUUCAUUUAUUUCCGAACAGGAAAUCUUUUCAGUGAACCUCUUCAGGGUCGAAUUCAACUCUUCUGUUAUGCACCGAAGUGGGUAGGGUUUUCUACAGGGUUCGUGCGAGAAGGGAAAUGUUUAAAGAAUCAUAAGAGAUUAUUAACAUUUCAUUGUAUGAUCCAUAUCGGGUCCUGCUACGAUUACACAGGGUAUACAAAUCAUAUAUAGCUUAGAUCCGAUAGACCUUCGAAUAUGUGAUACUACUCUAGAACCACAUCCCAACGAGGAAAAGGAGAUAGAGCGAAACCACACAUUCUUAGCCUAUGGGAUCCUUAUUAUAUAUAACCUUGGGAGUACACCCUCUGUAGUUGUAGGUAUAUCAAUAAGGAUCUUUUUAGUUAUUCACGCAAGGUUGUUUAUGGAUUCUAAAAUACCCCUAUGGUAUUUUAAUUCUUGUUUGAUUCUUAUCUUCUGAGUUUCAUUCUGGGAUUAGUGUGGAUCUUUUAGUGUUCUAAAAUACUCCUAUAGUAUUUUAACUUUAUGUUUGGCUCUAGCAUUCCUAGUUGGUAAGUUUCAGACCUGUUGUACACCACUAUCACUCCCAAGCACACGUUCAUCGCAUCUCGGAUAAAUGUAGUUGAUCAGGUUACAUUUAUCCCAGCUUACGAUUACAUAACUGCCCAGGUUUGACUGUAGUGCUCAACAUCCGAAGACUUUUAUUAUUGUUCUUCUUGUGAUACUUUUGUUCGAGUGUUUAGGUUCUGGAUGUUAUUAUACUUUGGUAAAAUAUGGGUAUAUUUUAAAGUAUAAUUCUUGGUCAGAGUGUUUUAUCCCUUUGUGUUUAUAGGUUGUAUAUCUUUUAUGAAUUGAUAUACUUAGCUCACUAUAAACAAUGCUCUGAUACCAAUCUGUCACACCCCAAAACCGGAAAGGCGGAAACGUUCUGGGGUGGAUCACGUCAUGUCAAGUAUCACAACACAUACAUUAUAGUAAUCAAAGUACAACAAAACAUUGCAUUAAUAGUAAUAGUUUUAGAUGGUUACAUUACAAUACAUUGAAGUACUACAGUAAAUAUAAGUAAGAACGGCAUGGCACUAAGCUAUCUUCAUCAACUGCUCCGGGGAUGUACCAGUCUAAUGCUAACCUGAGAAUACAAGUUAUUUGAAAAGCGAGUAUCAACAUUUUUACAAAUGCUGGUGAGUUCAUAAGUAUUUAGUGACUUUUAUUCAAAUAACUUUAUAUAGUAGUAGUUUAAGUGUUUACUGUGUAUUAGAGUUCUUUCCAGAAAAUCAUAUAUUUUCUUUAGUAAAGCAGCCUUCUACCAAGACUGGUCAGUGUUAUGUGGUAAAAAGUCAUUUUCCCUAAAUUGCUAUCAUUUUCAAAAUACUGAAUUUG